CCCCGUGAAGAUGCGGGGUUCCUGCGGUCAGACGGAAAGACCCCGUGCACCUUUACUGUAGCUUUGCGCUGGUAUUCGUGACUGUUUGUGUAGAAUAGGUGGUAGACUUUGAAGCCGUGGCGCCAGCCAUGGUGGAGUCGAAAUGUGAAAUACCACCCUAAUGGUUAUGGAUAUCUAACCGCAUCCCUUUAGCGGGGAUCGGGACAGCGCAUGGUGGGCAGUUUGACUGGGGCGGUCGCCUCC
rnacentral:rRNA from 13 species